rnacentral:lncRNA from 1 species
AUGGAAGAAGGUUUAGAGUUGGUCUUCCAUAUUUUAGCUUCAAGUAAGUUUAAUUCUUGCUUUUUCCUUGAAAUUUUAUAUUUUUAGACUUUUAUAAUUAGGUCCAACUUAGUAUUCUACUAGUUUCUCAUUUUGUUGAAAGUUUUGGAAGAUACUAACGAUAAGUUCAUAUGAUUUUUGUUAUUUUGCGAUGAAAUUGAGAUGUUAAUGGAUGUGUAAAGGUGUUUUACUAAAGAAUUUUAGAUGAAAACAUGUUUUAGGGAUUAAAUUGAAAGGUAUUAAAAUUGUGGAGAAAUUCUAAAAUUUCAUGGAAUCCAUGGGCUUUUAUUUAUAUGUAUGAGAAAUAUUAGGCUUAAAUCAAUGAUUAUAUUUCAAGAAUUCCAUUUUUCGAGCCUAGGGAUGAAAUUGUCAGGUAUUGAAAGUUUGGGGUCAAAUUGGUAACCAAUAUUUUACACUAAAACAGUUUUGAACUACAGCAGUGGUCUAACUAUGAAAAAUCACCAAAAAUUGUGGAAAUUGAAUUAGAAUAUGAAUAAAAAAUGAAAUUAAAGCUUAUUGAGUUAGUUUUUCAUAGAAGAAAUGGUGUAAGCAAUGGAAUUGUAAAUCAUGAGAUAUAAUAAAUUUUGUGAGACAGUAUCAGAAUGAUUUCGGGUUCCUCUGUUCUGAAUUUGGAAAAUCAUCAAAAAUUGAAGAAAAAUAAUUUGGAGUUAUAAUUUAUAUUCUUAGAAUCCUGAAUGAAUCUAUUUUCAAAGAAAAUAAAUGAAAACAUAAUCCGAAUCUUGUACAAUUAGAUAAUUCAUUUUUAGUGAAGGAUGGUCGGAGCUGUCAGAUAGCAAAACAAGGGAAACUUUAAAGAAUAAAAUGUACUAAUUGGCUGAACCAAAAAUUCUGAAAAUUUUAUGGUAAGAAGAUAUGUGAGUCUAGUUUCAUGAAAAAUUUACAGAUCUUAAUUGGGAGCUCUGUAUCUCCAGAUAAAAAUAAUUUAGUGACUCGGACUUAGACGGACAGCUUGAAUUUUACAUACAAGAAAAUAGUGAAAGUACGAAUAAUGUUGUUUAAAUGUGUUAUACACAUUAAGGAUGAGGAAUUGAGAGGAGGUGGAGGAAAAUUGGGAAAUAUAUGAAUCACUUGUGUACAAUUGGUUAAAUGCUUGAUUAUAAUUGAUAAAUGAUGAAAUAGAAAUGAUGCUUAUAUUUGUGCAUUAUUGGUCAUGGUUUAAGCUCAUGUGUGGAAAUAAAGUUUCAUAGUAUGUGUGUAUGAUAUAUUCGGUAUAUGAUUUGGCAUGAAAUAAUGUCAUGAAUGGUAUAAUUGAUAAACGUUGAGUUAAAUGGUAAAUACGUAUUAGUGUUGAACGAAAUGGAAAUGAAGUAUUGAAUCACAUGAGUAUGUAUCGGGUCUCGUAGGCACUAAUUAUUAUGAUUAUAAUAUUUUGAGGAUAUAUUGUGAAAAGUUAUAGAAGCAUGUUAAUUAUUUUAAAAUUUUUAAUUUAGAUGAAAUUUUAUAACUCGAUUCAAUACGUUUACAAAUGUAUGUAUUCUAGUAAUGCCUCGUACUCUAUUUCGGUGUCGAAUACGGGUAAAGGGUGUUACAUCCUCAACGGGCAAAGCUACAUCCUUGACAUGGGCUUCAGCUACUGAAGCAGAUUCUAUAACAAGGUCAGGCUUCUUUUCAAUGGGAGAAUCCGAUUCGGAUGAGUAGAACUUGAGUCGAGACCGAGUUGAAGCGGCGAGUGGGUUGAACGACUGAACUGGGUUUUGGUUGGUUUUGGUAUAAGAGUGAAGAAUAUUGCGAGUAGUGAGUGAAAUGCCUCUAAACAAAACCCUUUUCAUGGCUUCCAAACAAAAUGGUUAGUAUCCAAGUGUUUUCCCGUUCUUUGGUUUUCAGAGUUUCUUUGAUUUCAUUUGGGGGCAAAGACGUUAGGAGGGAGAAGGUAAAACAGGGCUUAGAAAUCUGGAGAGUAAAAGGGAAGGCUAAUCUGAGCUUUUGGAAGGGAAUAGAAAGCAGAGAAUUUGGGAGAAUAGAGGCGUAAUGUAAUAAGCCCGUAAUAGGGCAUUACACCCAACCAAACAUAUGAAUAAAUGGGGCCCACGGAAUAGAGGUGUAAUGGCUAUCCCAACCAAACAUGCUGUAAAAGUUAGAUUGUAAUCCCAAC